rnacentral:rRNA from 1 species
GACGAACGCUGGCGGCGUGCUUAACACAUGCAAGUCGAACGGAAAGGCCUUCAUCUUGUUGCGUGUUCUCGUGUCGCUCACGUGUGUUUCACACGUGUAUCCUCUCCUUUUCUUUUCGGUAUCUUCUUGUGACUCUGGCUCUUAUCCCGUAUAUGCUCCUUCUUUAUUGUCAGUUUUGGAAAGUUUUUUCGGUUGUGGGUGGGCUCGCGGCUUAUCAGCUUGUUGGUGGGGUAAUGGCUUACCAAGGCGUUGACGGGUAGCCGGCCUGAGAGGGUGUACGGCCACAAUGGGACUGAGAUACGGCCCAGACUCCUACGGGAGGCAGCAGUGGGGAAUAUUGCACAAUGGGCGGAAGCCUGAUGCAGCAACGCCGCGUGGGGGAUGAAGGCCUUCGGGUUGUAAACAGCUUUCGACAGGGAAGAAGCGUGAGUGACGGUAACGGGAAAAGAAGCACCGGCUAACUACGUG